UUCCGGUUGAUCCUGCCGGAGGCGACCGCUAUUGGAGUUCGAUUAAGCCAUGCGAGUAGAAAGAAAUUAGAUUCUUUGCAUACUGCUCAGUAACACGUGGAUAACCUGCCCUACACUGGGGGAUAAUCUUGGGAAACUGAGAAUAAUACCCCAUAGACCACUACGCCUGGAACGGUGAGUGGUUGAAAGCUCAGGCGGUGUAGGAUGGGUCUGCGGCGUAUCAGGUCGUAGGGGGUGUAAUGGACCUCCUAGCCAUCGACGCGUACGGGUUGUGGGAGCAAUAGCCCGGAGACGGAUUCUGAGACACGAAUCCGGACCCUACGGGGUGCAGCAGGCGCGAAAACUUCGCACUGCAGGAAACUGUGAUGAGGGAACUCCAAGUGACUGCACAAUGUGUAGCCUUUUCUUGAAUUUUAAUUGUUCUUGGAAUAAGGGCUGGGAAAGACCGGUGCCAGCCGCCGCGGUAAUACCGGCAGCUCAAGUGGUCGUCGCUUUUAUUGGGCCUAAAACGUCCGUAGCCUGUUUGGUAAAUCUGUGGGUAAAUCAACGAGCUUAACUCGUUGAAUUCUGCAGAGACUGCCAGACUAGGGACCGGGAGAGGUGUGAGGUACUCUGGGGGUAGGGGUAAAAUCCUGUCAUCCUCAGAGGACCACCUGUUGCGAAGGCGUCACACUGGAACGGAUCCGACGGUCAGGGACGAAGCCUAGGGGCACGAACCGGAUUAGAUACCCGGGUAGUCCUAGGUGUAAACGCUGUGGAUUUGGUGUGUGGGGUCCGCAAUGGGCCCCAUGUGCCGGAGUGAAGAUGUUAAAUCCACUGCCUGGGGAGUACGGUCGCAAGGCUGAAACUUAAAGGAAUUGGCGGGGGAGCACUGCAACGGGAGGAGCGUGCGGUUUAAUUGGAUUCAACGCCGGA
rnacentral:rRNA from 1 species